UAGGCUGCCUGUCUUGUCAAUUAAUUCAGUAUUAAAAUAAGGAAUCGACCCUUUUCUUUCAAUAUUAAAAAAAAAAAAAAAAGCGGUUUAGAAUUGAUCCUGUUACUAAGCGCACAAUACAGACAGACGCCCCCGGGGAACGUCACACCUGGAAGAGAAGACGGGUUAACAUGCCGCGUCCCCAGCAGCCCACAAGUGGACUCCGUUUAAGAGGCGACAGAGGUCAGCUGUCGCCUCCCACUGCUAAAGAGAUGUUGGGGGACUGAGAAUUCACUCUUCGAGCCCAGCCCUUUGGCUUCCCCAGGUAUGCCUGCUCCGCCAACUCAGCCCGCGCUUCCUCAACGGUCUCCCCCCACUCCCGAAGUCACGCCAGCUGGGGUCCAGCUCAGCAAGACCCCAAACUGCAGGUCCCCAGACUUCUCGGUUGUCACGGAGACGGAUCCCGCCCCUCCCACCCAGCCUCAGGGUCCCCCAGCGGGGCUGAGCCCCCCCAGCCCCCACUCACCCUGCGCCGUAGGCGGACACAGCAGCAGCAGCAGCGGCAGCAGCAGCAGCGGCGGCGGGGCGCUGAGCCCGCCGAGGAGGGACAUGGCGCGCGGGGACCGGGACCGGAGUUAAGUGGAAGCUCGCUCCAGCAAGCAGCCGGUGGGGCCUGCGAAGAGCUCCCAUCUGGACGUGUAAAUAUCUGCUUUCCAAGUAAACAGAACGCUGGGGGGAACCGAGGAGAGGGGCGUGGCUCAAGUGGGAAGGGCUUUGCUGCCCGGAAAUCUGCAUUAGGUUGAGAGGUCAACGUUCAGCAGUCCCCAGUAAAGUGGCCUAAUAUGACAGAUGACAUUUUCAUCUGCCCUGCCCUGGGCUUCCCGUUGACCAACGGAAGUGUAAUGCCUGACUCACGUAAGGAGAGUUCAUCUCACCCAGCUGUUUGGUGAUCCGGUAUCCUGGAGUAAAAACAACUAAAGGGAACACAGGUGUGCAGAGCCCUGAGGAGAGCUUUUGAAAGGGAUCGUCAUAUAAAUGUUGAGCCUUGGGAAAUGAAGUCAUGCAAAAUGGAACAAGAAUUUAUCAAGAAUUUCUCAGCAUUGUCAGCCGCUAGGCUGUUCCCAUGGUUACUGUAUUGGUUCUUUGUGAACUUCCCAGAUCUUCCCUUUCCAUGGAUGUUAGAAGAGCAAGAUACUUGGGAACUAUGACAUUUUUUCUUAACCAUUUCUUCCUUUUUUUGUAUGUCUUAUAAUAAUUUAUCACAUUAUGGUUGAUGACACUUCAUCAUGAAUAUCACAUAUGAUUUAGAAGUUUUUUUCUCUUUUUGUCACAUUCAAAGUGGCAGCAUUGAUGUUCUCCUUUCUGUUCUGGUUUGGUGAGUUCCUAAAGGACUUGUGUAAAAACAUAGUGGCCUAAAGGAAAUAAAAUAACUCAACAGAGCUAUGCAAGAUCAUUUUGUUUAACAUGACGAGUGCUACCGUAUCAAGCAAUUCCAUGAAUAGUAUCACUUUGAUGUAAACUCUUGUUUUGCCUUGUGCAAUUAUUUAUUAGAUGUUUGUUGGCUGAAGAGUUACGGUUUCCCUCAAGUUGUCCUCAUAAUGCACUGUCAAUAUUUAAUAUGAAUGCUCAAAUGAUUUCCCUAUUUAUUUAAAUAUUUAAAUAUUUUUUGUACAUACACUCAAUAGGUUUAACAGUGAUUUGUCACAGUAAUACAUAUAAGGGAUAUUUGUAAUAAUUCAUGUGUAGUAUAUAUCCUUCAACUGACUGAUGGAAUCCUGGUAUAAAGCACAUAAGGAGACUUUUCACUGAGUUGCAUUUAGAAUACCUGCUCUCCAUAUUUAAAAGAGAAGGUUCAGUAGGGACUAUACAUUUCAAUGACAUUCUUUUUAUACAUUACCAUCACUGUGACUCAGAUUAGAUGUGAUUAGAUAUGGCCUUGAAGGAUGCCAGAAAUCACCGGUGUAAGACGCAUAAAGAUAUGUGGCCUCCACAGGACAAAGCUGAAUUGCAAAUUGUCAAAUACAGAGGCUACUAGGUGCAUCUCUGGUCUCUGUACUAUGAAAAUGGCAUUAUGGGGCUGGAGGGGGGUUGCUCUAUCGGUGAUCGAAUGUGAUCAUUUUUCUGAGAUGCAUGGGCAGGGUAGGUACAAGCAUUCUUGGUCCAUGUGCAUUGUCACUGGUAGUGAUGAAAUUGAAGGAUGUCAGUUGUAGGCACAUCACCAGAGAUCCACUUCGCCCGGCUAGGCAUUUUGGAAGUGCAACCUGAAUGCUUGGUUUAUCAAUUAACAGGUUCUAGGUAAGCAGUCAUGUGCCCAAGGGCUGUUCAGAACCACCUGUGACAUCUGGGAGCAGAAUGUUAGAUUCCUACUAAUUUCUUGCACUUUCCCCUUUCGUCAGGAUGCUGAAAGUACCAUCUCUUCAGGGCGCCUGGGUGGCUCAGUGGGUUAAAGCCUCUGCCUGUGGCUCGGGUCAUGAUCUGAGGGUCCUGGGAUCGAGCCCUGCAUCAGGCUCUCUCCUCUGCAGGGAGCCUGCUUCCUCCUCUCUCUCUCUGCCUGC